UUGUGGGCGGGAACGGCCCACCAAGGCGACGAUGUCUAGGGGUUCUGAGAGGAAGGUCCCCCACACUGGUACUGAGACACGGACCAGACUCCUACGGAAGGCAGCAG
rnacentral:rRNA from 1 species